CUACGUGCCAGCAGCCGCGGUAAUACGGGGGGUGCGAGCGUUAAUCGGAAUAACUGGGCGUAAAGGGCACGCAGGCGGUGACUUAAGUGAGAUGUGAAAGCCCCGGGCUUAACCUGGGAAUUGCAUUUCAUACUGGGUCGCUAGAGUACUUUAGGGAGGGGUAGAAUUCCACGUGUAGCGGUGAAAUGCGUAGAGAUGUGGAGGAAUACCGAAGGCGAAGGCAGCCCCUUGGGAAUGUACUGACGCUCAUGUGCGAAAGCGUGGGGAGCAAACAGGAUUAGAUACCCUGGUAGUCCACGCUGUAAACGAUGUCGAUUUGGGGGUUGGGCUUUAAGCUUGGCGCCCGUAGCUAACGUGAUAAAUCGACCGCCUGGGGAGUACGGCCGCAAGGUUAAAACUCAAAUGAAUUGACGGGGGCCCGCACAAGCGGUGGAGCAUGUGGUUUAAUUCGACGCAACGCGAGGAACCUUACCAGCGUUUGACAUC
rnacentral:rRNA from 1 species